UGGAGAUCUACAUGGCUACGCUUCCGCUAUCAUACGAGUUCCGAUGGUGGGGUUGGCGUUGGCAGCAGCUCAAUGUCAUCUUCAUGGUUCAUUGUUUAAGUGGCUAGCUCGAGAGUGAGCUCAAGAUCAAGUGUUUGGCUUUUGGAGCUCGGUUAAAGGUGGGCCCAGCGUUUGAGAGAUGAUCGAGUUAGACUAGCUUAGUAGAUCUAGUAGUUUAAACUCGUAGUAUUAUUAUUAUGAUGUUUAUUUUGAUGGAUUGUAGACUUAUGUUUUUUAUGUUGGAUGAUAGACUUCGGGGUGUUUUUCCCCCUUAUGACUUUAAUUAAGUAUUUGCUAUGUUAUUUGGAUUUAA